CGCGUGAGAAUCUGGCUUCAGGUUCGGGACAACCACUGGAAACGGUGGCUAAUACCGGAUAUGCCUAAUUGGUGAAAGUUUAAAUGCCUGAAGAUGAGCUCGCGUCUGGUUAGCUAGUAGGCAGUGUAAAGGACUACCUAGGCGACGAUCAGUAGCUGGUCUGAGAGGAUGAUCAGCCACACUGGGACUGAGACACGGCCCAGACUCCUACGGGAGGCAGCAGUGGGGAAUUUUCCGCAAUGGGCGAAAGCCUGACGGAGCAAUACCGCGUGAGGGAGGAAGGCUCUUGGGUUGUAAACC
rnacentral:rRNA from 1 species